rnacentral:rRNA from 1 species
CCCUUAGAUGUUCUGGGCUGCACGCGUGCUACACUGAUAUUGCCAAUAUGUCAUUCUUAUCCGAAAUGGAUUGGGUAAUCAAGUAAUGAAAUUUCAUGCUUGGAAUCGGUAAUUGCAAUUUUAUCGUGAACGAGGAAUUCCUAGUAAGCACUAGUCAUCAGCUAAUGUUGAUUAUGUCCCUGCCCUUUGUACACACCGCCCGUCGCUACUACUGAUUGGGUGUUCAAGUGAGAUGCUUAGACCCUUGUUGCAUGGUUCAUUAUUGUGCUCCGAAAGGAAAAAGUUUCAAGCUUGAGUGUCUAGAGGAAGUAAGAGUCGUAACA